rfam:Arabis alpina cultivar Pajares Aa.chr7_contig_2652, whole genome shotgun sequence.
ACUCCAUGGUGUGGACAUGAUCUUGUAUAUCCUUUAAACCGUUCCCAAGCUUCAUACAACGACUCAUUACCUCCUUACUUGAAAGUGGCGAUGUCAUUCCUUAUCUU